GACGAACGCUGGCGGCGCGCUUAACACAUGCAAGUCGAGCGAGAACCAGGGCUUCGGCCCUGGGGACAGCGGCGAACGGGUGAGUAACACGUGGAUAACCUGCCCUCGGCACCGGGAUAGCCCGGGGAAACCCGGAUUAAUACCGGAUGGCCCUUCCGGCUUUCGAGCUGGUCGGAAAAGGUAGCUUCGGCCUCCGGUCGAGGAUGGGUCCGCGGCGGAUUAGCUAGUUGGUGGGGUAACGGCCCACCAAGGCGACGAUCCGUAGCUGGUCUGAGAGGACGAUCAGCCACACUGGGACUGAGACACGGCCCAGACUCCUACGGGAGGCAGCAGUGGGGAAUCUUGCGCAAUGGGCGAAAGCCUGACGCAGCGACGCCGCGUGAGGGAGGAAGGCCUUCGGGUUGUAAACCUCUUUUAAGAGAGAAGAAGCUACUCGGGUUAAUAGCCCAGAGGGUGACGGUAUCUCUUGAAUAAGCCCCGGCUAACUACGUGCCAGCCGCCGCAGUAA
rnacentral:rRNA from 1 species